rnacentral:lncRNA from 1 species
GGAGCUCUGAGAAGUCAGUUUGGAAAAUAACCAAAAGAAGAAAACAUGAAAUCUUGUCGGAUUAAGGCCUUGUGCCUAACUUCUAAAUAAAUUCUUACUGAGAUAGUCUAACUAUAUUCUUAUCUAUGCUAAACAGCACGGUGAGAUGUGAAGGGUAAAGCGCCACUUAUUGAUUGUUUGUUUUGGAAGUAUUCGUACUAUCAAAGACCAAAAAGAACCACCUCUGCUGUUAUUUUGUUGCCUUUUUCAGGGGAGAUGGCCCUGUGUAUGAUACACCCAUUAAGAAUUCCUGCUUGAGGGUAGAACUUUAAGGGUAUUCUCCACCUUAAAACUGAUGCUAGAUGUUCUGUUGUUGGUGGUGGGUUGUUUUAUUUUGUUGUUGUUUGUUUGUUUGUUUUUUAAAUGAAACCUCUCUGUGACACUGUGGGUGGCUGGGCAUGUUGUAAUCCUGUCAUGCACUUGGGUGCCCAAACUGCAAAGAGUCUCUUAAUUUUUAAGCAGGAAGACGAAUUACUUUACCUGAACGGAAAUUGGGCUGCUUCAUUGGCUUUGGAUGAUGCCAUCCAAGUUGGCUGAGAGGAAAAGCAGAAGCUCAAAUUCCUCCAAGUGUGAUAAAGUAAAUCUCUGGUGCAUCAUUGAUGCCCCAGAAAUGAAGAAAAGUUUUCAAGUACAUCUAAAUAUCAUCCAACACCUGAGAGGAUUUGAUCAAAGAGACAAAGUCAAGCUCAUCGCAGUGGAAAUUCAAGAGAUUAUGGACACUGAAACAAGAAAUUAGUAUGUGAGGAAAAGCUUUUUCACCAUAAGGACAGUGAAACAGAGGAAGAGGCUGCCCAGUGAGGAUGUAAGUUUUCCAUCUCUGAGAGUUUUUCAAAAGCCAUCUGGAUCAUAAACUGCAGAGUUCACCUAAUUUCAAUCAAGGGUUGGAACAGAGACUUACUGAGGUCUUUUGUGAACUGUGUUUUCUUAUGAUCAUCUACUGUACUAUACCGUAUCCGCAGUUAAUUUUCUCUUUUCCAGAGAGAUUAGUCUUUUUUACACGUAAACAAUAUGUGUAUUGUAUAACUUCAAUCAUUUUAGUUGCACUUCCUUGUUUUACUGUACCCUUUCUAAUACAGGGCAACAAGCUGCACAUGGUUUCCAAGAGAGCAGGCACUGCAAAUUAAUUCUAUGUUUAGUGGCAUUUACAUCUUUGUUCCUUAGUCCUUCAGCAGUAAUUUCUUACCAGUCUGUUUGCCUUGUAAAUGGCACUUCACUUUGGAUUUGAUAUAUUCAUAGGAUAUAUAUAAUAAUACAAAAGCUGUCUGUGAAGAUUUGUCAAGUAGUUUCAUUAAAUUUAGACCCCAUCAUUUUGUAAUUGUGAUUAAAUUUGGAUUUUCCUGUAUGUAUUUCUUUGUGUAUGUUGACUCAGUUUCUUGUUUAUCCAAUAUUCUUCUACACUACUUUAAGUUUUGAAGUGCACUGAAUAUUGCUGUAUCAUCAGAAAGCUUCAUUACAGAGCGAAAAAUAAAAGAAAUUAUAUAUUUUAGUCUCA